AUGGCUAAGUUCAUUUGGAGCAGUUCUAUUGAUCGGCGGUCUAUGCAUUGGAUAUCAUGGGAUAAACUAGCUACACCGAAAUGCAAAGGUGGAAUGGGCUUUGGUGAUCUCCGCUUGUUCAACCUAGAUCUUUUGGGGAAGCACGGAUGGCGCUUUAUGACUAACCCCAACUCUCUAUGUGCCUGGGUUUUGAAGGGCCGUUACUUCCCAGAUUUUGAGUUUCAGCUUGCCACAAUACCAACAGCCGCAUCUGCUACUUGGCGAGCCAUCGUUGCCGGUCGAGAGGCGCUCGAUGCUGGCCUUAUCAAACGCGUGGGCACCGGUUCAACCAUAUCCAUAUGGGAUGAUCGAUGGAUU
rnacentral:rRNA from 1 species